rnacentral:lncRNA from 1 species
UUUGGCAACUCAGCACAAACAGCUGACUCGCGUUUAGUAGCUGAUAUUUUCGUACUUUUGAGGUUAGUCGUUGGAUCGUUGCCCGUUGGUCAGUUGUCAGUCCAUAAUGGCGUUAUCAACUUUGAAACUUAUUCGUGGAGUUUCUACAACUGCCGCUCGGUAUGCCAGCUCCAGCAGCGGCUUACCCCCUGCCAUCGAAGCGAUGAACCAAUCCAUCCGAGUUCUUCCCCAAAUGGAAAAAGCCUUGUAUCACGCGAAGCACCAUGCACCAGCCGGCGCCAGAAGGUGGAAACUCAUUUCCCUCCUAUCCAUGCCCGUCUUGAUCCUUCUCAGUGUCAAAUUGGCCAUCACCAUAUGACGCAUGAACCUGAGCGCAUGAAGUACCACCCUGGAUAUGAAUACUUGUGGGUUCUUAGGAAGCCCUUCCCAUGGAGAGAUGGAAAGAAAUCACUUUUCUACAACCCCAAAGUUAAUGCUAUCCCUGGAGUUGGUUACGAAGAUGAACAGGAGUAAGGAAGUUCUCCAAGUAGUUCUCAAACUUAAUACUAAUAAUUAAGGUUAUCAUAUGUGUAAAGUCAGCAACUUUGUUAAUUAUUUUAAGUGGAAUUUCAAUAAUAAAUAAGUCUUAGUCGUUAAUUUUGAGUGUCAGUAUUUUCUUUCAUCUCUUCACCUCGAAUGAUGCAGCACCUGAAUCCAGUCUGAAAGGAUUUUAGCAUAAAAAAUUUCAAAGAGAGCUCGUG